GGGUUGUGAGGUUAAGCGACUAAGCGUACACGGUGGAUGCCCUGGCAGUCAGAGGCGAUGAAGGACGUGCUAAUCUGCGAUAAGCGUCGGUAAGGUGAUAUGAACCGUUAUAACCGGCGAUUUCCGAAUGGGGAAACCCAGUGUGAUUCGUCACACUAUCAUUAACUGAAUCCAUAGGUUAAUGAGGCGAACCGGGGGAACUGAAACAUCUAAGUACCCCGAGGAAAAGAAAUCAACCGAGAUUCCCCCAGUAGCGGCGAGCGAACGGGGAGGAGCCCAGAGCCUGAAUCAGUGUGUGUGUUAGUGGAAGCGUCUGGAAAGGCGCGCGAUACAGGGUGACAGCCCCGUACACAAAAAUGCACAUACUGUGAGCUCGAUGAGUAGGGCGGGACACGUGGUAUCCUGUCUGAAUAUGGGGGGACCAUCCUCCAAGGCUAAAUACUCCUGACUGACCGAUAGUGAACCAGUACCGUGAGGGAAAGGCGAAAAGAACCCCGGCGAGGGGAGUGAAAAAGAACCUGAAACCGUGUACGUACAAGCAGUGGGAGCCUCUUUAUGGGGUGACUGCGUACCUUUUGUAUAAUGGGUCAGCGACUUAUAUUCUGUAGCAAGGUUAACCGAAUAGGGGAGCCGAAGGGAAACCGAGUCUUAACUGGGCGUUAAGUUGCAGGGUAUAGACCCGAAACCCGGUGAUCUAGCCAUGGGCAGGUUGAAGGUUGGGUAACACUAACUGGAGGACCGAACCGACUAAUGUUGAAAAAUUAGCGGAUGACUUGUGGCUGGGGGUGAAAGGCCAAUCAAACCGGGAGAUAGCUGGUUCUCCCCGAAAGCUAUUUAGGUAGCGCCUCGUGAAUUCAUCUCCGGGGGUAGAGCACUGUUUCGGCAAGGGGGUCAUCCCGACUUACCAACCCGAUGCAAACUGCGAAUACCGGAGAAUGUUAUCACGGGAGACACACGGCGGGUGCUAACGUCCGUCGUGAAGAGGGAAACAACCCAGACCGCCAGCUAAGGUCCCAAAGUCAUGGUUAAGUGGGAAACGAUGUGGGAAGGCCCAGACAGCCAGGAUGUUGGCUUAGAAGCAGCCAUCAUUUAAAGAAAGCGUAAUAGCUCACUGGUCGAGUCGGCCUGCGCGGAAGAUGUAACGGGGCUAAACCAUGCACCGAAGCUGCGGCAGCGACGCUUAUGCGUUGUUGGGUAGGGGAGCGUUCUGUAAGCCUGCGAAGGUGUGCUGUGAGGCAUGCUGGAGGUAUCAGAAGUGCGAAUGCUGACAUAAGUAACGAUAAAGCGGGUGAAAAGCCCGCUCGCCGGAAGACCAAGGGUUCCUGUCCAACGUUAAUCGGGGCAGGGUGAGUCGACCCCUAAGGCGAGGCCGAAAGGCGUAGUCGAUGGGAAACAGGUUAAUAUUCCUGUACUUGGUGUUACUGCGAAGGGGGGACGGAGAAGGCUAUGUUGGCCGGGCGACGGUUGUCCCGGUUUAAGCGUGUAGGCUGGUUUUCCAGGCAAAUCCGGAAAAUCAAGGCUGAGGCGUGAUGACGAGGCACUACGGUGCUGAAGCGACAAAUGCCCUGCUUCCAGGAAAAGCCUCUAAGCAUCAGGUAACAUCAAAUCGUACCCCAAACCGACACAGGUGGUCAGGUAGAGAAUACCAAGGCGCUUGAGAGAACUCGGGUGAAGGAACUAGGCAAAAUGGUGCCGUAACUUCGGGAGAAGGCACGCUGAUAUGUAGGUGAAGCGACUUGCUCGUGGAGCUGAAAUCAGUCGAAGAUACCAGCUGGCUGCAACUGUUUAUUAAAAACACAGCACUGUGCAAACACGAAAGUGGACGUAUACGGUGUGACGCCUGCCCGGUGCCGGAAGGUUAAUUGAUGGGGUUAGCGGUAACGCGAAGCUCUUGAUCGAAGCCCCGGUAAACGGCGGCCGUAACUAUAACGGUCCUAAGGUAGCGAAAUUCCUUGUCGGGUAAGUUCCGACCUGCACGAAUGGCGUAAUGAUGGCCAGGCUGUCUCCACCCGAGACUCAGUGAAAUUGAACUCGCUGUGAAGAUGCAGUGUACCCGCGGCAAGACGGAAAGACCCCGUGAACCUUUACUAUAGCUUGACACUGAACAUUGAGCCUUGAUGUGUAGGAUAGGUGGGAGGCUUUGAAGUGUGGACGCCAGUCUGCAUGGAGCCGACCUUGAAAUACCACCCUUUAAUGUUUGAUGUUCUAACGUUGGCCCCUUAUCGGGGUUGCGGACAGUGUCUGGUGGGUAGUUUGACUGGGGCGGUCUCCUCCUAAAGAGUAACGGAGGAGCACGAAGGUUGGCUAAUCCUGGUCGGACAUCAGGAGGUUAGUGCAAUGGCAUAAGCCAGCUUGACUGCGAGCGUGACGGCGCGAGCAGGUGCGAAAGCAGGUCAUAGUGAUCCGGUGGUUCUGAAUGGAAGGGCCAUCGCUCAACGGAUAAAAGGUACUCCGGGGAUAACAGGCUGAUACCGCCCAAGAGUUCAUAUCGACGGCGGUGUUUGGCACCUCGAUGUCGGCUCAUCACAUCCUGGGGCUGAAGUAGGUCCCAAGGGUAUGGCUGUUCGCCAUUUAAAGUGGUACGCGAGCUGGGUUUAGAACGUCGUGAGACAGUUCGGUCCCUAUCUGCCGUGGGCGCUGGAGAACUGAGGGGGGCUGCUCCUAGUACGAGAGGACCGGAGUGGACGCAUCACUGGUGUUCGGGUUGUCAUGCCAAUGGCACUGCCCGGUAGCUAAAUGCGGAAGAGAUAAGUGCUGAAAGCAUCUAAGCACGAAACUUGCCCCGAGAUGAGUUCUCCCUGACUCCUUGAGAGUCCUGAAGGAACGUUGAAGACGACGACGUUGAUAGGCCGGGUGUGUAAGCGCAGCGAUGCGUUGAGCUAACCGGUACUAAUGAACCGUGAGGCUUAACCUUACAACGCCGAAG
rnacentral:rRNA from 1 species